UCUUCAUUCCCAUUCUCCUCCCUUACCCUCUUCUACUUCCUCUUUUUCUUACCUUCUACUUUUCUCCUCCCCAAUGCCCUCUCAACUUUCUACUCUUCUUGUUGAGAAAAAACUGCAACGAAAAAUUCGAUUGUGAUUAAAAUUCAACUAAUUUUGUGAUAAAAUUAAUAAAUUUAACUUACAGAUGAUUGCUAAAUCCCAAAAAAUUUUGGAAGAAGAAUAUCAAGCAAUUUUGAUUCGGAAGCGUGCGAGGCAUUGCACUAAGGUGUAUUUUCAUUCUUUGUGCGGGAUUAACUAAAAAUACCUCCCCAAGGUACGACUGGAAUUCUUCCUUCUAUAAGGACGAAUGCUGAAGAGGUUGAUGGAGACUCUUUCAAUACCCAGCGACAAAGGAAUCAAGAAAAUAGAAAAUUGAUGAAAAAUAAAAAAAAACUCUUUUUUA
rnacentral:lncRNA from 1 species